GCCUGAGUUACCUGUUUUGUUGCUUUUGGUGUCAAAAUGCAGUUAUGGCUAAAAAUGUGCUCCUUCAGGUCCCAACCAAAUCCAAGUUAAUUUUUGUGCCAAAUUAGAAAAAAAAUACCUCAAAUGAAACUGUAUCUGAGUGGUCUAAUUCAUUUUUACUUUAAUGAAGUGCACUGUUCUUCUGUAUCAUCUCCAUCUGCAUUAGUUGAUAAUUGUCUUGUCUUAAUCUCAUCAUUUUCACAUACUGCUACAAACCAACCAAAGGCCAGAUGUGUAUGUAGGUUUAAGAGUUUUGGGAAAACAAGUCAGCAGCGCUGCUAUCCUCUCUCCAAACUCUUGUAUUUCCUUUCUUUUCAAGACUGACAAGAAAUGAAAAAUAUGUGGAUUUUCACCCCCUAGAAACAUGUAUUGUAUGUAGACUCGAUGGGGUGUAUUACUGAGAUGAGAAAUAUGCAGAAUAUUUGAGGAAUACAGCAUAUUUUAGAAACAUUGACCCAUUGGUCAGUUCAUGAGCAA